rnacentral:rRNA from 1 species
AUGGGGAAACCCAGCAUGAGUUAUGUCAUGUUAUCGAUAUGUGAAUACAUAGCAUAUCAGAAGGCAUACCCGGAGAACUGAAACAUCUUAGUACCCGGAGGAAGAGAAAGAAAAUUCGAUUCCCUUAGUAGCGGCGAGCGAAACGGGAAGAGCCCAAACCAACAAGCUUGCUUGUUGGGGUUGUAGGACACUCUAUACGGAGUUACAAAGGACGACAUUAGACGAAUCAUCUGGAAAGAUGAAUCAAAGAAGGUAAUAAUCCUGUAGUCGAAAAUGUUGUCUCUCUUGAGUGGAUCCUGAGUACGACGGAGCACGUGAAAUUCCGUCGGAAUCUGGGAGGACCAUCUCCUAAGGCUAAAUACUCUCUAGUGACCGAUAGUGAACCAGUACCGUGAGGGAAAGGUGAAAAGCACCCCGGAAGGGGAGUGAAAUAGAACCUGAAACCGUGUGCUUACAAGUAGUCAGAGCCCGUUAAUGGGUGAUGGCGUGCCUUUUGUAGAAUGAACCGGCGAGUUACGAUUUGAUGCAAGGUUAAGCAGUAAAUGUGGAGCCGUAGCGAAAGCGAGUCUGAAUAGGGCGUUUAGUAUUUGGUCGUAGACCCGAAACCAGGUGAUCUACCCUUGGUCAGGUUGAAGUUCAGGUAACACUGAAUGGAGGACCGAACCGACUUACGUUGAAAAGUGAGCGGAUGAACUGAGGGUAGCGGAGAAAUUCCAAUCGAACCUGGAGAUAGCUGGUUCUCUCCGAAAUAGCUUUAGGGCUAGCCUCAAGUGAUGAUUAUUGGAGGUAGAGCACUGUUUGGACGAGGGGCCCCUCUCGGGUUACCGAAUUCAGACAAACUCCGAAUGCCAAUUAAUUUAACUUGGGAGUCAGAACAUGGGUGAUAAGGUCCGUGUUCGAAAGGGAAACAGCCCAGACCACCAGCUAAGGUCCCAAAAUAUAUGUUAAGUGGAAAAGGAUGUGGCGUUGCCCAGACAACUAGGAUGUUGGCUUAGAAGCAGCCAUCAUUUAAAGAGUGCGUAAUAGCUCACUAGUCGAGUGACACUGCGCCGAAAAUGUACCGGGGCUAAACAUAUUACCGAAGCUGUGGAUUGUCCUUUGGACAAUGGUAGGAGAGCGUUCUAAGGGCGUUGAAGCAUGAUCGUAAGGACAUGUGGAGCGCUUAGAAGUGAGAAUGCCGGUGUGAGUAGCGAAAGACGGGUGAGAAUCCCGUCCACCGAUUGACUAAGGUUUCCAGAGGAAGGCUCGUCCGCUCUGGGUUAGUCGGGUCCUAAGCUGAGGCCGACAGGCGUAGGCGAUGGAUAACAGGUUGAUAUUCCUGUACCACCUAUAAUCGUUUUAAUCGAUGGGGGGACGCAGUAGGAUAGGCGAAGCGUGCGAUUGGAUUGCACGUCUAAGCAGUAAGGCUGAGUAUUAGGCAAAUCCGGUACUCGUUAAGGCUGAGCUGUGAUGGGGAGAAGACAUUGUGUCUUCGAGUCGUUGAUUUCACACUGCCGAGAAAAGCCUCUAGAUAGAAAAUAGGUGCCCGUACCGCAAACCGACACAGGUAGUCAAGAUGAGAAUUCUAAGGUGAGCGAGCGAACUCUCGUUAAGGAACUCGGCAAAAUGACCCCGUAACUUCGGGAGAAGGGGUGCUCUUUAGGGUUAACGCCCAGAAGAGCCGCAGUGAAUAGGCCCAAGCGACUGUUUAUCAAAAACACAGGUCUCUGCUAAACCGUAAGGUGAUGUAUAGGGGCUGACGCCUGCCCGGUGCUGGAAGGUUAAGAGGAGUGGUUAGCUUCUGCGAAGCUACGAAUCGAAGCCCCAGUAAACGGCGGCCGUAACUAUAACGGUCCUAAGGUAGCGAAAUUCCUUGUCGGGUAAGUUCCGACCCGCACGAAAGGCGUAACGAUUUGGGCACUGUCUCAACGAGAGACUCGGUGAAAUCAUAGUACCUGUGAAGAUGCAGGUUACCCGCGACAGGACGGAAAGACCCCGUGGAGCUUUACUGUAGCCUGAUAUUGAAAUUCGGCACAGCUUGUACAGGAUAGGUAGGAGCCUUUGAAACGUGAGCGCUAGCUUACGUGGAGGCGCUGGUGGG